GACAGAGGGUGCUAGCGUUGUUCGGAAUUACUGGGCGUAAAGGGCGCGUAGGCGGCCCGUUUAGUCGGGUGUGAAAUCCCGGGGCUCAACCCCGGAACUGCACUCGAUACUGGCGGGCUUGAGAACGGAAGAGGUGGGUGGAAUACCCAGUGUAGAGGUGAAAUUCGUAGAUAUUGGGUGGAACACCGGUGGCGAAGGCGGCUCACUGGUCCGGUUCUGACGCUGAGGCGCGAAAGCGUGGGGAGCAAACAGG
rnacentral:rRNA from 1 species